GCGAGGCCCGCCCGUCCGCCCGGGCCGUCGCAGCCGCUGCCGCGGUCCCCUGCGCUCCUCCCCGCUGCCGCCGCACGCCCCCAGCCGGUCCCGCCUCGCCUCCUCCGCGGCGGCUUCCGCCCCUCUUAGCUGCGCUGCCGGAGGAAACGGAAGAAGGAGCAAGCUAUGGAGGGGAACAGGGAUGAGGCUGAGAAAUGUGUCGAGAUCGCCCGGGAGGCCCUGAACGCCGGCAACCGCGAGAAGGCCCAGCGCUUCCUGCAGAAGGCCGAGAAGCUCUACCCACUGCCCUCGGCCCGCGCACUAUUGGAAAUAAUUAUGAAAAAUGGAAGCACGGCUGGAAAUAGCCCUCAUUGCCGAAAACCAUCAGGUAGUGGCGAUCAAAGCAAGCCUAAUUGCACAAAGGACAGCACAUCUGGUAGUGGUGAAGGUGGAAAAGGCUAUACCAAAGACCAAGUAGAUGGAGUUCUCAGAGCUUUAUGGAUAUUGGAACAUUGAUAUGGGAUGGUGGACCUGUACCUAACACACACAUAAACAAAUGUAAAAAUUACUAUGAAGUACUUGGAGUUACGAAAGAUGCUGGUGAUGAAGAUUUGAAAAAAGCUUAUAGAAAGCUUGCUUUGAAGUUUCAUCCAGACAAAAACCAUGCACCUGGAGCAACAGAUGCUUUUAAAAAGAUUGGAAAUGCUUAUGCUGUUUUAAGUAAUCCAGAAAAGCGAAAACAGUAUGACCUCACGGGCAAUGAAGAACAAGCAUGUAACCACCAAAACAAUGGCAGAUUUAAUUUCCAUAGAGGUUGUGAAGCUGAUAUAACUCCAGAAGACUUGUUUAAUAUAUUUUUUGGGGGUGGAUUUCCUUCAGGUAGUGUACAUUCUUUUUCAAAUGGAAGAGCUGGUUAUAGCCAACAACAUCAGCAUCGACAUAGUGGACAUGAAAGAGAAGAGGAAAGAGGAGAUCAAUUUAAUUACAUGAAGUGGAAAGGUAAAUGGAAAGAGCGCUAGACUAGAAAUUAAAAGGCCUGGCCCCCAGCUUUGCCACUCAUCAGCUCCCAUCUUCUACCCUCAAAUCCAAGGGAGGUUUUUCUGUGUUUAUCCAGCUGAUGCCCAUAAUUGUAUUGAUCCUCGUGUCAUUAUUAAGCCAGUUGAUGGUCUCUAAUCCUCCUUAUUCCUUAUAUCCCAGAUCUGGAACUGGGCAAACUAUUAAAAUGCAAACAGAAAACUUGGGUGUUGUUUAUUACGUCAACAAGGACUUCAAAAAUGAAUAUAAAGGAAUGUUAUUACAAAAGGUAGAAAAGAGUGUGGAGGAAGAUUAUGUGACUAAUAUUCGAAAUAACUGCUGGAAAGAAAGACAACAAAAAACAGAUAUGCAGUAUGCAGCAAAAGUAUACCGUGAUGAUCGACUCCGAAGGAAGGCAGAUGCCUUGAGCAUGGACAACUGUAAAGAAUUAGAGCGGCUUACCAGUCUUUAUAAAGGAGGAUGAACUGGAAUUUUUAUUUAUACCUUUUAGCGUACUCUUUAUUUUUUCUGUAAGUAAGUUUGGUUUCAUCAUGAGGGAUGAAGGAAAAGAUUUGAUACUGAAAACUAAACUGAAUAGUUGGUUCCUGAAAUCUUGGACUGUUUAUGACCUACUGGCUCCUUUAAAUAGUAACUGAAAACUAAAAUGGAAUAUUUUAGUUAACGCUUCUACAAGUAUUUUCAUUUUAAAAGCUUACAUGAUUCCUAACUAAAGUGUCAUGAGAAAGGAUUAUCACACCUGUAGCAAUUUCCAGUUUUAGUGAUUCUCCAUUUUUUCCCUUGUCAUGUAAAUAUUUAUGGAAUGAUCAUUUUGUGUACAUACAGGUUACUGCUUUUUUAUUUAAAUUCUUUUAGUGUUUAGCUCCAUGAGACACUUCAGUUUAAAUUGAUGGAAUAAAUGUUAUAUGACACAUUUACAUUUUCCUUAUCAAGGUGUCAAAUAUGUGGACUUUAAACAAUGAAACUUUUUCAAAAAGAAAAAACAAAAACUUUAACUUUGUGUAAAAUCUUAUAGUAUUAUCAGCUUAGAGGGAAUUGAUAUUUUUAAUAUUGCCGUUAUAUUCCAAAAUAUAUAUUGAGAUAAAUGAACUGGUGUAGAAUAUCAGUUUGCUAUUUAGUUUUAUGAAUUACUAUACAUAUACAUGCAUAGAAAUGAAAUGCUAUACUGAUAGAUUUUAAAGAAAAUAUGAGGAAAUGGCUAUAAAUAUUAAACUAAAAGGGUCUUCAACAGUAAAGUGCAGUUAUGUCAUUUAAAAUUCCAAUACUUUAAAGGCCACCAAAUUUUGAAGUAUAUGUCCUUGAAGGGCUGCUAAAAUUUAUGAAGAGGACUCACAUUUUCCCCCAUAGAAAUUUGCAGUUUCUUGGUGAUCAUUUAAGCAGGAUCCAAAGAAGUUCCUCUACAAAUAAGUAAUAAGAAAAAUGAGUACUAAAAUACAGCUUUGUGCCUUUUAACCCUAUGCCAACUCCUAAACAUAUAAGUUGAUUACAGUAUACUUAUCUGAUCAGAGCAUGAUCUGUUUGGCCACAUGCAAGUGUGAGCAGAAAUAGAGCAGCACGUAGAAUAGUAACUUAAAGCAAGUCAUCCUUUAAAAAUUCUGAGCUAAAAUCUAUUUACCAUUGAGUAAUUGAAUUAAUCCCAUAGGAAUAAGCUCCUUGUAAGUAAAUCCAUGAUAUGAAUUAGAAAAAAAAAACAGCUGGAAAUUGAAGUUUUUGAUGCCUGUAUACUGGAUAUGAAACUAUUUGAUUUCUAGUCUUCUGUGUUUAGCAGUUGUAAUAUUUUAAUGAUUUUGCUUCAUACUCGGUUAAUGGAACAUAAACAUAUCUUUGAUACUUCUUUGUGAGUGAGAGAAUGCUAGAUAGGGUGGCUUUGUUCUUUGUUUAAGUUUUUUUUCCUGAAUGUAGUUAAUUUAUGGCAUCUGUUGAAUAAAACUGCUAAAAUGACCUCUUAAAAA